UUCUUGGGAUAUUCUUCACAUGGCAAAACUUAUAAAGUAUUUAAUAAAAUAAUUCUAUGUGUAGAAGAAAGUGUACAUGUCAUUUUUUAUGAAACUAAUACUCUUUUUGAGAGACAGAACAUGAAGAUGAAGCCAUUGGAUUGGUAAGACAAUUGACAGAAGCCACAACAUCAGUCAAGGAGGCAUCGAAGGAAGAAAUGAGUGAUGGAACAAGUCCUUU
rnacentral:lncRNA from 1 species